rnacentral:lncRNA from 1 species
GCCACCGGGGGCCGCCCGGGGCUGCUCGGCAUUGGUGCGGAAACCCGAGCCCGGAGUCGCUCCCUCGCGCUGUCUCCUCCUCCUCCUCUGCGGGGGAAACCGCUGCACCCAAACCGGGAGCAGCUGCGAGCAGGGGGCAGGGCGCGGGCUGAAAGGCGAGCCGAAGGUUCAAACCUCCGCGGCGCGGGCGGGGGCGGAGGGCAACAGCAGGACGGCCCCCAGGUCCCGAGAAGGCGUGGCAGUGGUCGGCCCAGGUGUCAGGGAACCUGGCCUGAGACCCCUGCAUUUCCAAGCUUCUUUCCUGGUCAGAGGAAACGUGAACCAAAGGUAGUUCAGCUAAACAGACCACCUCGAGCCGGGUUCGAGGCAUCUGUCUCGAGGGCAAGACAGUAUUUUUUGCACGACAGAAAGUUACACCAUCCAUUUUUUUCCGUGGGGGAAAUCAUUGCGCCCCUUCCCCCAAAAUGUCGCGCAAGAAGAAUGACCUCCCGCUACCCAGACCUUCGCCAGUGUCCCCCACCCCACCCCCACCCGGGCGCUGGGUGUGGAUUGGGCGGAGGGAGGCUAUAUGGGAGCUUAAAGCAUGAGGUCAUGAGCGGAGGAGACUGCUGCCAAAAGCACCCGAGGUUUUUGUGUUUUUUGAGGGGUAACGGUUCUCCAUCUUCAGCAGUGGAAAGUCCUCCCGCCUACCCUACCAAUUCUGGGGCACGUGGACCACAGAGUCCCUGAAAAGAGGAGGGGACCCGGGCUAUUUCGCUUAAUGAGCGUUUGGCGCGUGCCCAGCCCUUUAUGGAGCCCUUCCACAUAAGCAAAGAAAGCCGAGGGACAGCGCACAGUGUUGCGGCGACUGGGAAAGGCUUCAGAUGCUCGAUGUCCCCCGCCCUCUUUCCUCAGUCCUCGGUCAUCUUCCAAGUGGGCUGCUUUCUGCGAUAGCUUCCUGUCCCCCUCCGACCCAUUCCUCCCAAGCGACUAAAACUCCUAAUGACAUUAUUUUAAAGCCUUCAAAACCCUCUUCCAUUGCCCUUAGAAUAAAGCCAAGUUGUGAUUUCGCCUCUACAGACCUCUCUACCCGCCCAGCUCUUCCUCGGAUAUUGUAAGCCCCGUCAAGCUUUCUUUGUUCAAGGGGUGGAGGAGGGGGCGCCUAACCUUUCCCCUUCCACCUCUUCUUACUAACUCCUGCUGGACCUUCAAGAUUUGACUCAACUGUCAGUAACUUCAAGAUGCCUUCCUGAGGGUACACCCAGGUCUCUACCUCAGGGGAAAAGACCUACCCUAGGUCUCCUGGCAGCAGCGCUGUGGCCGGAGUUGGCCCCAGUGGCGGCCUUUUUCCAAGCGGAGGAGGAACAGCCAAGCUAAGCUUGACCACCGUCACCGCCCAGGGACCUGAGCGGGAGCUGGCUAGGACAAAACCUCAAAACGGGACUUGGGAAAACCGCACCACCCAGAAAACUCAGCCCCUCCACCUCCCUCCCAGCACACACACACACCCUCUUAAUCUAAAACUCCUCCCCGGGGCAGAUAAGGAACCUAUUCGGAGAGUUAAGUUAAUUGCCCCAGGUCAAUGUGGAAAUUCACAGCCUGUCUUUCCAGCUCCUAAACCAGAAGCUGCAGAGAAGGAAGGAUUUGGGAUUUGCGGCUACACAGCCAAGGACGCUUUUGUCAUCUUCAAAGGACCCCCUACACCCUACACGCUUGGCCCGCUCUGUUCAUUGCCAACAGAGUGAUGGUAAUGCCAGAUGGUUAGCUCUGCAGGCUCUGACCUUAGGCAAAUUACUUAACCGCUUGGUUCAGUUUCUUUGCCUGUAAAAUGGGAAUGAUAGUAUUCAUAUCAUAGUGUUAUUGUGAGGUUUAAAUGAGUUAUUUUAUGUAAGGCCUUAGAGUUUAAAGCAAGUUACUAAUAUUUGUGAAUAGGGUUGUGUAUCCUCCCCCGCCCCGCCCCCCCCCCACCUUCCAAAGGACUCUAGAAAAUCAGAUCCUCAGAGUCUUAGCUGAUUGAAGCAUCAGAAAAAUAUCUAUGGGGCCAGGCGGGGUGGCUCACACCUGUCAUCCCAGCGCUUUGGGCGGAUGAGGUAGGCGGAUCGCUUGAGCUGAGGAGUUUGAGACCAGCCUGGACAAUGUAGAGAGACCCUCUCCACGUUUAUUAUUAAAAAAUAAAAAAUUAGCCAGGCAUAGUGGUGCAUGCCUGUAGUCCCAGCUACUGAGGAGGCUAAGGCAGGAGGAUGGCUUGAGCCCACGGGGUUGAGGCUGCAGUGAGCAGAUUGCCCCACUGCACUCCAGCCUGGGUGACAGCGCAAGACUCUGUCUCAAAAAAUAAAAUUAUAUAUAUAGAGAGAGGGAGAGAGAGAGAGAGAAAGAGAGCACCAAAAGGACUGGGAAACACCGGCAGAUGCACAGACAAUGCAUCCCUGAUUUUACCAAUAGACUUGACUCCCAACAAUGCAUACUCUUGAAGGCAAUCCACAGGUUGAAUAAACCAAGUCCAUGAGCGCUGGGUCUGGAAUCUUUCUACAAUCAGGGUCAGAAGGAGGGUGACUGAAAUUAAAAUAUUAGCUUGGAUCUUUGAAAUCAGAGUCAGGCUGAAAAAGUCCCAAUCUUAGUUCAAAACCUGUCCUGCAUGACUGAAGCCCUCCUAGGGCUGCACAAAGUAUAAUGGAAUUAUUAUUAUUAUUAUCAUUAGAUCCUAGUCUUACCAUUCUCAGCACUUAUCCCCAUAGCAAAAGACCAUUUUUUAAUGUAAUUUAUUCUUUUGGAAUAGGUUGAAUGCAUUCACAUGGUUCCAAAUUCAAAUAAACAGCAAGAAGUCUCCCUCCCACCCUGUCUGCCACCCACUUGGUUUUCCUUCUCUGGAGGCAACCUGGGUUAGUGGUCAGAAGAUGCAUUUAACUGUUUUCCAGCUGAGGCCUUGUGAGAACUCCUCGGACACCAAUUUAAAUCUUUAUGUCCAGAACUCCUUUCUCCAAUCCAGGUAGAGCCACUCCCCUAUCCUAUCCCCACUCCCACCCUUCCCCCCUUCAGCCUCAAUCCUAAGCAGGCUCUAUUAACAAUGAUGAGCCACCAUUUCCUCGAGCUACUAACAAAUGCAAAUGUUUAAAUACUUUGUGGUUCUUUUUCCUCUUCUACAUUAAUUGCUAACAUUUAUCGAGGGCUUUCCGUGUGCCACGCACUGUGCUAAAUACUAGGCAUGCAUAUUCUUAUUUAAUCUGCCCCAAAUCUUCAUCAUUAUCCUUAUUUACAGAUGCAGACAGAAAUGAAAGUUCAGAGAGAUUAUGUAAUUUGCACCAAUUUGCAUCCAGGCCAACCUGAAUCCAAACCCUAUCUCUUUUUACUUUUUCUUUCCUUUUUUUUUUUUUUUUUAAACAGGGUCUCACUCUUGUCAGCCCAGAUGGCAUGCAGUGGCACAGUCUAUGGAGGCAAUCAGGGUUAGCUGUCAGCUCACUGUGGCCUCAACCUCCCAGGCGCAAGUGAUCCUCCCACCUCAGCAUCCCCAGUAGCUGGGACUACAGGUGUACGCCACUACCCCCAGCUAAUUUUUGUAUUUUUUUGUAGAGAUGAGGUUCCACCAUUCUUGCCCAGACUGGUUUCGAACUCCUGGACUCAAGCGAUUUGCCUGCCUCGGCCUCAAAAAGUGCUGGGAUUACAUGCAUGAGCCACCACACCCGGACCCUCUCUCUUAAAUAGUGGCCCUUUUGCCUCUCUGCAACACAGGAAAAAUUCUGUUAGCCUGCAUCAGAAGGAGUGGCAUGGAGGCUUUGGAGUUAAGAAGAUUUAAUUCAAAUUAUGUGUCCGGUGCCUGCCAGCAAUGAGACCUUGGUAAGGUUUCUUAACCUCUCUGAGCUGGGACCAUACCUUCUGCGUUGGUUUAAUAUAAAGGUUAAAUGCAUGUAAAUAAAUGACUUCUAAAAUAAAUAACAUUCUAAAAUGUUAGUAACAACUAAAUACAAUAUUUAGAUCUUGUGAGGAUUUGAUUUGAAUAAAUAAGAUUUUUUUAAAAGACAUUUUUGAGACAAAAUGUAGACUAUCUGAUAUUAAGAAAUUAAUCACUUUUUCAGAUAUGAUAAUGGCAUUGCAGUUUUUUUUAAGUUCUUAUCUAUUACAGAUACAUAAUGAGGCAUUUUGAGUGAAAAUAUAUCUAGGAUUUGCUUUCCAAUACUCCAUCCCCUCCCCAUCAAAACACUAAAUAAAUGAAACAAGAUUAGUGAAAUACGGAAAAUUGUUGAAGUUAUUCAUUAUUCCAUUUCCCAUAUGGAACUUUCCAUACUAGUUUCCCUACUGCUGUUGAAUAUUUGACAUGUUUCAAAUACAUUUGAAAUAAAUUUAUUGUCUGAGAUGAUCAGGUUGAAAAAUAAUAAAAUGAAAUAAAUUUAAAAGUAAAAUAAACAUAAC